AAAUGAGGGGCAAAAAUCUAAGAAGGGAAAAGGGGGGAAAAAGAUAUAAUAUAUAUAUAUAUUGUUAUUAUUAUUUUUAUUUUUAUCUUUAUCUUUAUCUUUAUCUUUAUCUUUAUC
rnacentral:ribozyme from 12 species